rnacentral:tRNA from 1 species
GGUUAUGGCUCAGUGGUAGAGCGCUUGCCUAGCAUGUGCGAAGCACUGGGUUCGUUCCUCAGCACCA